rnacentral:rRNA from 1 species
CUCCAGACUCCUACGGGAGGCAGCAGUGGGGGAUAUUGCACAAUGGGGGAAACCCUGAUGCAGCGACGCCGCGUGGGUGAAGAAGUAUUUCGGUAUGUAAAGCCCUAUCAGCAGGGAAGAAAGAAGACGGUACCUGACUAAGAAGCCCCGGCUAACUACGUGCCAGCAGCCGCGGUAAUACGUAGGGGGCGAGCGUUAUCCGGAUUCACUGGGUGUAAAGGGAGCGUAGACGGCCGUGCAAGCCAGGAGUGAAAGCCCGGGGCCCAACCCCGGGACUGCUCUUGGAACUGUGCGGCUGGAGUGCGGGGGGGGCAGGCGGAAUUCCUGGUGUAGCGGUGAAAUGCGUAGAUAUUAGGAGGAACACCAGUGGCGAAGGCGGCCUGCUGGGCUUUAACUGACGCUGAGGCUCGAAAGCGUGGGGAGCAAACAGGAUUAGAUACCCCUGUA